rnacentral:rRNA from 1 species
GACGAACGCUGGCGGCGUGCCUAAUACAUGCAAGUCGAGCGAAGCGGCGGAUGGGUUAGCACCGCGUGGGUAACCUGCCCUUAAGUCUGGGAUACCACUUGGACACAGCUGCUUAUACCGGAUACUAAAGGAUGUACUUGCGAUGCAUUAGCUAGUUGGGAAGGUAAAGGCUUACAAAGGCGAUGAUGCAUAGCCGAGGUGAGAGACUGAUCGGCCACACUGGGACUGAGACACGGCCCAAACGCCUACGUGAGGCAGCAGUAGGGAAUCUUCCGCAAUGGACGAAAGUCUGAUGGAGCAACGCCGCGUGAGUGAAGAAGGUUUUCGGAUCGUAAAGCUCUGUUGUUGGUGAAGCGGUAAUCAACCAGAAAGCCACGGCUAACUACGUGCCAGCAGCCGCGGUAAUUC